rnacentral:rRNA from 1 species
UUCGGGGCGAGUACAGCGGCGGACGGGUGAGUAACGCGUAGGAAUCUACCUGGUAGUGGGGGACAACAUGUGGAAACGCAUGCUAAUACCGCAUACGCCCUACGGGGGAAAGCGGGGGAUCUUCGGACCUCGCGCUAUCAGAUGAGCCUGCGUUAGAUUAGCUAGUUGGUGAGGUAAAGGCUCACCAAGGCGAUGAUCGUUAGCUGGUCUGAGAGGAUGAUCAGCCACACUGGGACUGAGACACUGCCCAGACUCCUACGGGAGGCUGCAGUCGAGAAUCAUUCGCAAUGCGCGAAAGCGUGACGAUGCGACGCUGCGUGGAGGAUGACGGCCUUAGGGUUGUAAACUCCUGUCAUAAGGGAAAAGACAUCUUUCAAUUAAUACUUGAGAGACUCGAUGGUACCUUAAGAGGAAGCCACGGCUAACUCUGUGCCAGCAGCCGCGGUAAUACAGAGGUGGCGAGCGUUGUUCGGAUUUACUGGGCGUAAAGCGUGCGUAGGUGGUCUGGUUAGUCGGAUGUGAAAUCCCGGGGCUCAACCCCGGAACUGCAUCCGAAACUGCCAGACUAGAGUCCAGGAGGGGAGAGCGGAAUUCAGAGUGUAGCGGUGAAAUGCGUUGAUAUUCUGAAGAACACCGGCGGCGAAGCGGCUCUCUGGAAUGGAACUGACACUGAGGCACGAAAGCGUGGGGAGCAAACAGGAUUAGAUACCCUGGUAGUCCACGCCGUAAACGUUGCACACUUGGUGUGG